rnacentral:rRNA from 1 species
UACGUAGGGUGCGAGCGUUGUCCGGAAUCAUUGGGCGUAAAGGGCGCGUAGGUGGCCCAGUAAGCGAGCGGUGAAAGCUCGGGGCUCAACCCCGGGUCGGCCGUGCGAACUACUGGGCUGGAGCACUGUAGAGGCAGGCGGAAUUCCGGGUGUAGCGGUGGAAUGCGUAGAGAUCCGGAAGAACACCGGUGGCGAAGGCGGCCUGCUGGGCAGUUGCUGACACUGAGGCGCGACAGCGUGGGGAGCAAACAGG